rnacentral:rRNA from 1 species
CCUACGGGUGGCAGCAGGGAGGAAUAUUGGUCAAUGGGCGCGAGCCUGAACCAGCCAAGUAGCGUGAAGGAUGACUGCCCUACGGGUUGUAAACUUCGUUUAUAAAGGAAUAAAGUGAGGCACGUGUGCCUUUUUGUAUGUACUUUAUGAAUAAGGAUCGGCUAACUCCGUGCCAGCAGCCGCGGUAAUACGGAGGAUCCGAGCGUUAUCCGGAUUUAGUGGGUUUAAAGGGAGCGUAGAUGGGUUUUUAAGUCAGUGGGGAAAGUUGGCGGCUCAACCGUAAAAUUGCAAUUGAUACUGGCAGUCUUGAGUACCGUUGCGGUAGGCGGAAUUCGUGGUGUAGCGG